rnacentral:rRNA from 1 species
AACGGCGUAGUAAGGCAUAGGUACGUGCCCUGAGGACGGGGAUAGCCGGGGGAAACUCCGGGUAAUACCCGAUGAUCUCGAGAGAGCAAAUGAAUUUCGCCUCAGGAGCGGCUUAUGUGGUAUUAGCUAGUUGGUAGGGUAAUGGCCUACCAAGGCUACGAUGCCUAGGGGGUGUGAGAGCACGACCCCCACGACUGGGACUGAGAUACUGCCCAGACACCUACGGGUGGCUGCAGUCGAGAAUCUUCGGCAAUGGGCGCAAGCCUGACCGAGCGACGCCGCGUGUGGGAUGAAGGCCCUUGGGUUGUAAACCACUGUCAGGGGGGAGAAAAGCCGGUGCAUGCCGGUUUGAUCUAGCCCCAGAGGAAGCACGGGCUAAGUUCGUGCCAGCAGCCGCGGUAAUACGAACUGUGCGAACGUUAUUCGGAAUCACUGGGCUUAAAGGGUGCGUAGGCGGCUAUCUAAGUAGGGUGUGAAAUCCUCCGGCUUAACCGGAGAACUGCGCUCUAAACUGGGUGGCUCGAGUAAGCUAGGGGUGUACGGAACUUCCGGUGGAGCGGUGAAAUGUGUAGAUAUCGGAAGGAACGCCGGUGGCGAAAGCGGUACACUGGGGCUUAACUGACGCUGAUGCGCGAAAGCCAGGGUAGCGAACGGGAUUAGAUACCCCGGUAGUCCUGGCCUUAAACGAUGAGAACUGGCAGGAGGGCCUCGUGCCCUUUCCUGCGGAGCGAAAGUGGUUAAGUUCUCCGCCUGGAGUAUGGUCGCAAGGCUGAAACUCAAAGGAUGACGGGGCUCCACACAAGCGGUG